AACGAACGCUGGCGGCAUGCCUAACACAUGCAAGUCGAACGAGACCUUCGGGUCUAGUUGCGCACGGGUGCGUAACGCGUGGGAACCUGCCCGUAGGUUCGGAAUAACUCUCCGAAAGGGGGGCUAAUACCGGAUAAUGUCUUCGGACCAAAGAUUUAUCGCCUUUGGAUGGGCCCGCGUUGUAUUAGCUAGUUGGUAGGGUAAAAGCCUACCAAGGCGACGAUCCAUAGCUGGUCUGAGAGGAUGAUCAGCCACACUGGGACGGAGACACGGCCCAGACUCCUACGGGAGGCGGCAGUGGGGAAUAUUGGACAAUGGGCGAAAGCCUGAUCCAGCAAUGCCGCGUGAGUGAUGAAGGCCUUAGGGUUGUAAAGCUCUUUUACCCGGGAUGAUAAUGACAGUACCGGAGGAAUAAGCUCCGGCUAACUCCGUG
rnacentral:rRNA from 1 species